CCUACGGGCGGCAGCAGUGGGGGAUAUUGCACAAUGGGGGGAACCCUGAUGCAGCGACGCCGCGUGGGUGAUGGAGCGUUUCGGCGUGUAAAGCUCUAUCGGCAGGGAAGAAAAUGACGGUACCUGACCAAGAAGCCCCGGCUAACUACGUGCCAGCAGCCGCGGUAAUACGUCGGGGGCAAGCGUUAUCCGGAUUUACUGGGUGUAAAGGGGGCGCAGACGGCAAUGCAAGCCAGGUGUGAAAGACCGGGGCCCAACCCCGGGACUGCUUUUGGAAAUGCAUAGCUGGAGUGGGGGAGGGGCAGGCGGAAUUCCUGGUGUAGCGGUGAAAUGCGUAGAUAUUAGGCGGAACUCCGGUGGCGAAGGCGGCCUGCUGGACUGUGACUGACGUUGAGGCCCGAAGGCGUGGGGAGCAAACAGGAUUAGAUACCCUGGUAGUC
rnacentral:rRNA from 1 species